UACGGAGGGGGCUAGCGUUGUUCGGAAUUACUGGGCGUAAAGCGCACGUAGGCGGACUUGUAAGUCAGGGGUGAAAUCCCGAGGCUCAACUUCGGAACUGCCUUUGAUACUGCAAGUCUCGAGUCCGGAAGAGGUGAGUGGAAUUCCCAGUGUAGAGGUGAAAUUCGUAGAUAUUGGGAAGAACACCGGUGGCGAAGGCGGCCAUCUGGCCCGUAAUUGACGCUGAGGCGCGAAAGCGUGGGGAGCAAACAGG
rnacentral:rRNA from 1 species